CAACAAAUAUUUAUAUACCGCUUUUCAACAAAAGUUUUCAAAGAGGUUUACAUCGAGAAAUAACAAAUAAAUAAAUAAAAUGGCUCCCUGUCCCCAAAGGGCUCACAAUCUGAAAAGAAACAUAUGAUAAGACACCAGCAACAGUCACUGGAGGUCCUGUGCUAGGGAUGGAAAAUACAAUGGCCAUCUUAGAUGAGGCAUUCUACUCCCACACAGAAAGGCAUGCCUCUUCUAAGACAGCUCUUCCUGCAAAUCUCUUCUAAAAACUAAGCAAGAGUUCUUGAUUGUAUGGAUAUUGAAACGGAUGCAGGUUUGAUCAACUGAAUAGUAACACUCACACAAUUAACUGACUAAGAUUUCUGGAAUCUGACCACAGACCACAGACCACAGAUCUAUUUUACUUUUAAAUCUGCAAUCAUUCUUAGUUUUAGCCUUUUGAUGUUAUGUACUAAUAUGAAUUUUAACUUGCCUUUUAAAUUGCAAUCAUCCUUAAUUUCAGAUUUGUCAAGUUAUGUUGUCCAAGUUAUUUGUCAAUUUUUAGCCUGUAUCAAUUUUAUGCUGGUCUCUGACCGUAAUAAAGGCUUGAUUGAUGGAUCUUACUUGGGAUGGAAGUACAGCCGGAUCCAAAGGCAACUCACAAGAAGAAGCAGCAGCAACAUCCACAUGGCCCUGGCAGUUGGAGGCACUUUAUUGCUCAGGAAGUUGUGAUUGGCUCCUGCAGGGUGUGCUUGUUGGUAUUACCUGGCCCGGAAGGACAGAGCUGAGACCACAGACAGCUCAGGAGAAGCAGCAGGGAGGCCGAGACGCCCAGGACAGCCACAGAUCUCCAGAGAUGCUCCAGGACACCUGGACCAAGUUGGAUGCUCCAUGGACCACGCAAGCAAGACGGUCACUCUGCACAGACUUGGAUGUUGGAUGAGCAGAUGGGAGCAAAAGUAUCACCCGGGUGCUCGGGGUGUAACUGUCUGAUGGGGAGAAGUAAAGCAAAGAAUUCAGCCACGAGCCACAUGAUUCAUGUGAAGAGAUGAUCAGGUCCUUAUUUCAGAACCUCAGUCUGGUGUUUGGCAAGUUGUGUUCUGGGGACCCCGAGGGCUGCAAGAAGUGUGGAAGGGGCCAGUGAUGUGGUGAGGGGCUAGGCUGGGGUGUUCUCACUUGGUGUUGCACACACAAGAAGGCUGGAGCAGUGUGCACAAGAGAGGUCUUCUUCCUACCUUCUCGGGGGACCAGGCCAGGCCAACCACAUCAGCAGGAAGGACCUUCGGCCACUUUCACACCUAACACAGGAGGCGAGAAGCAGAGGUUCUCUGGGCCGAAAUCCAGGGCCUCCACACCCCCUGGGGGCCCCCAAAUCCUCUUUAGCUGGUCCCAGGUGGUUUGGUCACUGCUAGACGGCUAAGCAUGGCCUCUUUGGGGAAAAGAAAUAUGUGGGAUAGGAAUAUGUUAAGUUGCGUGUUGAAAUAUUUCUGCUAAUGCAUAUUUGCAUCAAUGUACCUGUUCUAAUUAUUUAUUUCAUUUUUAGACCGCCCCAUCCAAUGGCUCUGGGUGGUACACAAGUAAAAA